rnacentral:rRNA from 1 species
AUUGAACGCUGGCGGCAGGCCUAACACAUGCAAGUCGAACGGAAGAACUGAACUUGCUUGUGGUUUCAGCGGCGGACGGGUGUGUAAUGCCUGGGAAUAUUCCUGGCUGCGGUGGAGAACGUGCGGAAACGGGCGCUAAUACCGCAUACUCUCAUAGGGCGCAAGUGGGGGAUCUGCGGAACUUACGCUCUUGCAUGAGCCUAGGUCGGAUUAGCUAGUUGGUGGGGUGGAGGCCUACCAAGGCGACGAAGCGUAACUGGUCGGAGAGGAUGAUCAGCCACACGGGAACUGAGACACGGUCCAGACUCCUACGGGAGGCCGCAGUGGGGAAUAUUGGACAAAGGGGGGAAGCCUGAUCCAGCCAUGCCGCGUGUGUGAAGAAGGUCUUCGGAUUGUAAAGCCCUUUUUGUGGGGAGGAAAGGCAGUAAGUUAAUACCUUGCUGUUGUGACGGUACCAACAGAAUAAGCACCGGCUAACUUCGUG